CACCACCGUGACUGGCUUCUAAUGUGGAUUCCAGGCAUCUGAACUCAGGCUCGCGCACUUGCAAGGCCAUCUCUCUAGCCCCACACUCACCUUUCUAUCUGGAAUACCAGCACAAAGUUUGGAGGGAGAUGUUGAGUGUUACGGGAAUGCACGACUUGUCGGAGCCAUCUUCAUUCUGCUCAAAGGGCAGAACUCCAGUGGUUUCCAAGGACAGAGAUGGUCACUCCUCUUCUCAGAAUGGUAAUCUUCUCCAUCCUUCACUCGUGUAGUGAUAUCACCCAUGCUCACGGCUUUAAACAUUAUCUGCAAUCAGCUCUGUCCAACAUGCAGCCUACAAGCUGUAUGUCUCUCAAGAUAGUAAUGAAUACGGC